AGUGAACGCUGGCGGUAGGCCUAACACAUGCAAGUCGAACGGCCGCACAGUAAGAGCUUGCUCUUACGGGUGGCGAGUGGCGGACGGGUGAGGAAUACAUCGGAAUCUACUUUUUCGUGGGGGAUAACGUAGGGAAACUUACGCUAAUACCGCAUACGACCUACGGGUGAAAGCAGUGGUUCUUCGCACCUUGCGCGAUUGAAUGAGCCGAUGUCGAAUUAGCUAGUUGGCGGGGUAAAGGCCCACCAAGGCGACGAUGCGUAGCUGGUCUGAGAGGAUGAUCAGCCACACUGGAACUGAGACACGGUCCAGACUCCUACGGGAGGCAGCAGUAGGGAAUAUUGGACAAUGGGCGAAAGCCUGAUCCAGCCAUACCGCGUGAGUGAAGAAGGCCUUCGGAUUGUAAAGCCCUUUUGUUGGGAAAGAAAAGCUGUGUGAGAAUACCCCGCUGUUCUGACGGUACCCAAAGAGAAAGCACCGGCUAACUUCGUG
rnacentral:rRNA from 1 species